rnacentral:tRNA from 1 species
GGUGGCUCAGUGAUAGAGCACUUGCCUUGCAAGCAUGAGGCCCUGGGUUCGAUUCCUCAGCACCU